CUCAGGAAGCGAUCUUCAAGCACUCUGUUGGCAUAUAUAUUCUGUUUUUGCUUGCCCUAAUCAUUUACUUGGAUCUAAUGUUUUGCAGGAGCUACUAAGUACUAACAAGUAACAAGCUACAGGAGUUGGAUGAUGCAGUGCUUAGGAGAUUGGUGAAGAGAAUAUAUGUACCAUUGACAGAAAACUAAACUGAAGCGUCAGCCUCACUCUUUAUCCUCUGCGUUCCGCGGAAACGGGUUGUUCGGGUCGGGUUGUUCGGUUUUUUUCUAAUUCGGGCUUUUUCAAAUUUCACCGAAUUGAAGUUAAAUUGAAAUACGGUUCGGUACGGACGGUACUCGGGUUAAUCGGGUCCGUUACCUAA